rnacentral:rRNA from 1 species
GGGCCCGCACAAGCGGCGGAGCAUGCGGAUUAAUUCGAUGCAACGCGAAGAACCUUACCUGGGUUUGACAUACACCGGAAAGCCUCAGAGAUGAGGCCCCUUUUGUCGGUGUACAGGUGGUGCA